ACACGUUGAUCCUGCGUGAGACCGCUGCUAUUUGAGUUGGACUAAGCCAUGCAAGUCUUGGGCCCGCAAGGGACCGGCAGACUGCUUAGUAACACGUUGAUAAUCUGCCCAAAGGUCUGGGAUAGCCUCGGGAAACUGAGGGUAAACCCGGAUAGGACAUACACGCUGGAAUGCCGUAUGUCUUAAAAGUAAUGCCUUUGGAUGAGUCAGCGGCUGAUUAGGUAGUUGGUAGGGUAAUGGCCUACCAAGCCUAUGAUCAGUAGGGGCCAUGGAAGUGGGAGCCCCAAGAAGGACACUGAGAUACUGGUCCUAGCUCCACGGAGUGCAGCAGGCGCGAAACCUUUACAAUGCGCGAAAGCGUGAUAGGGCAACUCAAAGUGCUCAUGGUUUCCAUGGGCUUUUCUCUUGUCUAAAUAACUAGAGGAAUAAGGGAUGGGCAAGACCGGUGCCAGCAGCCGCGGUAACACCGGCGUCCCGAGUGGGGGUCACAUAUUGGGUCUAAAGCAUCCGUAGUCGGCCAAGUACAUUCCUUGUGAAAUCGAUGCGCUUAACGCAUCGGCGUGCGGGGAACACGGCUUGGCUUGGAACCGGGAGGGGUAUGCAGUAUUUCUACGGGAGCGGUAAAAUGUGAUAAUCGUAGGAGGACUACCUGUGGCGAAGGCGGCAUACUAGAACGGAUUCGACGAUCAGGGAUGAGGGCUAGGGGAGCAAACCGGAUUAGAUACCCGAGUAGUCCUAGCAGUAAACACUGUGUGCGAGGUGUUGCGCGUUCAAUAGGAACGCGCAGUAUCGUAGCGAAGGCAAUAAGCACACCACCUGGGAAGUACGGUCGCAAGACUGAAACUUAAAGGAAUUGGCGGGGGAGCACUACAACGGGUGCGGCGUGCGGUUUAAUUCUUCAACACGGGGAAUCUUACCAGAGGCGACGGCAGUAUGAAGGUCAAGCUAAAGACUUUACCUGACGAGCCGAGAGGUAGUGCAUGGCCAUCGUCAGCUCGUGCCGUAAGGUGUCCUGUUAAGUCAGGCAACGAGCAAGACCCACGGCUACAAUUGGCAUCAGGUUCGCAAGAACGACUGGUCACAUUGUAGCGACUGCCUUAGAAAUAAGGAGGAAGGUGUGGGCAACGGUAGGUCAGUAUGCUCCGAAUCCUCUGGGCUACACGCGCGCAACAAUGCUAACGACGAUGGGCUGCUACUCCGAAAGGAGACGCUAAUCCUCUAAACGUUGGCCUAGUUCAGAUCGAGGGCUGUAACUCGCCCUCGUGACGUCGGAAUCCGUAGUAAUCAGAGUUUAGCAGACUCCGGUGAAUACGUCCCUGCUCCUUGCACACACCGCCCGUCAAACCAUUCGAGUAAAUUUCAAGUGAGGCUUAGUUACUGAUUAAGUCGAACUUGGGCUUUAUGAGACGGGUUAAGUCGUCACAAGGUA
rnacentral:rRNA from 1 species